rnacentral:rRNA from 1 species
UUUAUGGGGUGACUGCGUACCUUUUGUAUAAUGGGUCAGCGACUUAUAUUCUGUAGCAAGGUUAACCGUAUAGGGGAGCCGAAGGGAAACCGAGUCUUAACUGGGCGUUAAGUUGCAGGGUAUAGACCCGAAACCCGGUGAUCUAGCCAUGGGCAGGUUGAAGGUUGGGUAACACUAACUGGAGGACCGAACCGACUAAUGUUGAAAAAUUAGCGGAUGACCUGUGGCUGGGGGUGAAAGGCCAAUCAAACCGGGAGAUAGCUGGUUCUCCCCGAAAGCUAUUUAGGUAGCGCCUCGUGAACUCAUCUUCGGGGGUAGAGCACUGUUUCGGCUAGGGGGCCAUCCCGGCUUACCAACCCGAUGCAAACUACGAAUACCGAAGAAUGUUAUCACGGGAGACACACGGCGGGUGCUAACGUCCGUCGUGAAGAGGGAAACAACCCAGACCGCCAGCUAAGGUCCCAAAGUCAUGGUUAAGUGGGAAACGAUGUGGGAAGGCACAGACAGCCAGGAUGUUGGCUUAGAAGCAGCCAUCAUUUAAAGAAAGCGUAAUAGCUCACUGGUCGAGUCGGCCUGCGCGGAAGAUGUAACGGGGCUAAACCAUGCACCGAAGCUGCGGCAGCGACACUAUGUGUUGUUGGGUAGGGGAGCGUUCUGUAAGCCGUUGAAGGUGGCCUGUGAGGGUUGCUGGAGGUAUCAGAAGUGCGAAUGCUGACAUAAGUAACGAUAAAGCGGGUGAAAAGCCCGCUCGCCGGAAGACCAAGGGUUCCUGUCCAACGUUAAUCGGGGCAGGGUGAGUCGACCCCUAAGGCGAGGCCGAAAGGCGUAGUCGAUGGGAAACAGGUUAAUAUUCCUGUACUUGGUGUUACUGCGAAGGGGGGACGGAGAAGGCUAUGUCAGCCGGGCGACGGUUGUCCCGGUUUAAGCAUGUAGGCGGAGGUUCCAGGUAAAUCCGGUACCUUUUAACGCUGAGGUGUGACGACGAGGCACUACGGUGCUGAAGUGAUAAAUGCCCUGCUUCCAGGAAAAGCCUCUAAGCAUCAGGUAACACGAAAUCGUACCCCAAACCGACACAGGUGGUCAGGUAGAGAAUACCAAGGCGCUUGAGAGAACUCGGGUGAAGGAACUAGGCAAAAUGGUGCCGUAACUUCGGGAGAAGGCACGCUGAUAUGUAGGUGAAGUCCCUGCGGACGGAGCUGAAAUCAGUCGAAGAUACCAGCUGGCUGCAACUGUUUAUUAAAAACACAGCACUGUGCAAACACGAAAGUGGACGUAUACGGUGUGACGCCUGCCCGGUGCCGGAAGGUUAAUUGAUGGGGUUAGCGGCAACGCGAAGCUCUUGAUCGAAGCCCCGGUAAACGGCGGCCGUAACUAUAACGGUCCUAAGGUAGCGAAAUUCCUUGUCGGGUAAGUUCCGACCUGCACGAAUGGCGUAAUGAUGGCCAGGCUGUCUCCACCCGAGACUCAGUGAAAUUGAACUCGCUGUGAAGAUGCAGUGUACCCGCGGCAAGACGGAAAGACCCCGUGAACCUUUACUAUAGCUUGACACUGAACACUGGUCCUUGAUGUGUAGGAUAGGUGGGAGGCUUUGAAGCGUGGACGCCAGUCUGCGUGGAGCCAACCUUGAAAUACCACCCUUUAAUGGCUGGUGUUCUAACGUAGACCCGUAAUCCGGGUUGCGGACAGUGUCUGGUGGGUAGUUUGACUGGGGCGGUCUCCUCCCAAAGAGUAACGGAGGAGCACGAAGGUUGGCUAAUCCUGGUCGGACAUCAGGAGGUUAGUGCAAUGGCAUAAGCCAGCUUGACUGCGAGCGUGACGGCGCGAGCAGGUGCGAAAGCAGGUCAUAGUGAUCCGGUGGUUCUGAAUGGAAGGGCCAUCGCUCAACGGAUAAAAGGUACUCCGGGGAUAACAGGCUGAUACCGCCCAAGAGUUCAUAUCGACGGCGGUGUUUGGCACCUCGAUGUCGGCUCAUCACAUCCUGGGGCUGAAGUAGGUCCCAAGGGUAUGGCUGUUCGCCAUUUAAAGUGGUACGCGAGCUGGGUUUAGAACGUCGUGAGACAGUUCGGUCCCUAUCUGCCGUGGGCGCUGGAGAAUUGAGGGGGGCUGCUCCUAGUACGAGAGGACCGGAGUGGACGCAUCACUGGUGUUCGGGUUGUCAUGCCAAUGGCACUGCCCGGUAGCUAAAUGCGGAAGAGAUAAGUGCUGAAAGCAUCUAAGCACGAAACUUGCCCCGAGAUGAGUUCUCCCUGAGACUAUAAGUCUCCUGAAGGAACGUUGAAGACGACGACGUUGAUAGGUCGGGUGUGUAAGCGCAGCGAUGCGUUGAGCUAACCGAUACUAAUGAACCGUGAGGCUUAACCUUACAACGCCGAAG